rnacentral:sRNA from 1 species
AAGGAAUGCCAAGUGCUAUACGCCAAUCUGGGCCUCGUCCAACUCUUCGCCAUCUGGCUCCAACUGGGUCUGAGUGCCCGGACCGCUUGGCUAUGGACUUUGGUGGGGCUGGUGCCGCCCAGCAAGGGCUGACUGACAGCUGCCAGUCUGGAGGUGGUAUUGGAUGCACACAGAAGGGGGAAAGAUGGGAUUU